rnacentral:siRNA from 1 species
UGUCGCUGGUUGCUGUCGCUGGUC